rnacentral:rRNA from 1 species
UACGUAGGGUGCGAGCGUUAAUCGGAAUUACUGGGCGUAAAGCGUGCGCAGGCGGUUUGCUAAGACCGAUGUGAAAUCCCCGGGCUCAACCUGGGAACUGCAUUGGUGACUGGCAGGCUAGAGUAUGGCAGAGGGGGGUAGAAUUCCACGUGUAGCAGUGAAAUGCGUAGAGAUCGUAAGGAAGACCAGUGGCGAAGGCGGGUCUCUGGACAGUUCCUGACACUGAGGCACGAAGGCCAGGGGAGCAAACGGG